rnacentral:tRNA from 1 species
GGCCGUUUGGUGUAGUUGGUUAUCACGCAUCCUUCACACGUUUGAGACGGAUGAGGUCGCUAGUUCGAACCUUGCAAUGGUCA